AGUGAACGCUGGCGGUAGGCCUAACACAUGCAAGUCGAACGGCAGCACAGUAAGAGCUUGCUCUUACGGGUGGCGAGUGGCGGACGGGUGAGGAAUACAUCGGAAUCUACUUUUUCGUGGGGGAUAACGUAGGGAAACUUACGCUAAUACCGCAUACGACCUACGGGUGAAAGCAGGGGAUCUUCGGACCUUGCGCGAUUGAAUGAGCCGAUGUCGGAUUAGCUAGUUGGCGGGGUAAAGGCCCACCAAGGCGACGAUCCGUAGCUGGUCUGAGAGGAUGAUCAGCCACACUGGAACUGGAACACGGUCCAGACUCCUACGGGAGGCAGCAGUGGGGAAUAUUGGACAAUGGGCGCAAACCUGAUCCAGCCAUACCGCGUGGGUGAAGAAGGCCUUCGGGUUGUAAAGCCCUUUUGUUGGGAAAGAAAAGCAGCAGGUUAAUACCCCGCUGUUCUGACGGUACCCAAAGAAUAAGCACCGGCUAACUUCGUG
rnacentral:rRNA from 1 species